rnacentral:rRNA from 1 species
UUAAAUUGAAGAGUUUGAUCAUGGCUCAGAUUGAACGCUGGCGGCAGGCCUAACACAUGCAAGUCGAACGGUAACAGGAAACAGCUUGCUGUUUCGCUGACGAGUGGCGGACGGGUGAGUAAUGUCUGGGAAACUGCCUGAUGGAGGGGGAUAACUACUGGAAACGGU